rnacentral:rRNA from 1 species
GAUGAACGCUAGCGGCAGGCUUAACACAUGCAAGUCGAGGGGUAGAAGGAGCUUGCUCCUUUGAGACCGGCGCACGGGUGCGUAACGCGUAUGCAAUCUACCUUGUACAGGGGGAUAGCCCAGAGAAAUUUGGAUUAAUACCCCAUAGUGUAAUGAAAUGGCAUCAUUUUAUUACUAAAGUUCCAACGGUACAAGAUGAGCAUGCGUCCCAUUAGCUAGUUGGUGUGGUAACGGCAUACCAGGGCAACGAUGGGUAGGGGUCCUGAGAGGGAGAUCCCCCACACUGGUACUGAGACACGGACCAGACUCCUACGGGAGGCAGCAGUGAGGAAUAUUGGUCAAUGGGCGCAAGCCUGAACCAGCCAUGCCGCGUGCAGGAUGACGGUCCUAUGGAUUGUAAACUGCUUUUGUACAGGAAGAAACACUCCCUCGUGAGGGAGCUUGACGGUACUGUAAGAAUAAGGAUCGGCUAACUCCGUGCCAGCCGCCGCAGUAACAC